UCUGCUGUCCUAGCUUCAGGGGGAAGCUGGUUCCACCAUUGGAGUGCCAGGACAGAAAACCAAUCGGGGCGCAAUAACAUUUUAAUUGAUCGAAUUGAGUACGUAAAGACUGAAACUUGACAUGACACAGAAGUCAAGGCCAAGAAACACCUGGCAGAUCAACUCAAACUGGACCCUAAACUCAUUGAGAUGGAGAGGGCACAUAGGAAUGGCACUUUCUUCUCCGAUGGACGGCCCAGAUCUAUAGUGGUGAAAUUACUCAGGGAGAUUCUCAGGAGAGCCAAGAGCCUGAAGGGAACCAGCAUCUUCAUCAAUGAAGACUUCUCCGAAAAGAUGGAAAAGACUGCUCCCUGACGUUUGUGGCCCAUGCACUGGGGAAGGCUUGUGUUCAGGGACACAGUGGUAAGCAAGGCUGGGUGUGCUUGAAGCUGCUGGAGAACGCCCCUGAGUGCUGACUGGAGAAUGUGCUCACUGGGCUGGUGCAGGCUGUCAACAGGCCUGACAGAGGUCCAGGAUCAUGGGGAACCUGCUGUUAAAGAACAAAAAGGCCCUGUUUGUCGUCACCCAUAAACUGCUGCUAAUCCAAUACAAGUAUGAGACUCGUGUUUUGAGGAUUCUUCUGGGCUACCUGGCUCAGGACAGGGAGAGGCCACUACUUAUACAGUGAUGAUUCGCUCACCCCCUACUGACCAGGAGAUGAGCCAAGCCGCCCCGCCUCGCUACCUCCGAGACCUCUUGAGGCCUUCCUCUCCUCUGAAGACCCAGUGAGGGUGGCGCUCAAUCAGAGAGCUGUUGAGGGACUGGUUAGGAAGAACACUACUACAGCCAGUG